rnacentral:rRNA from 1 species
GAUGAACGCUGGCGGCGUGCCUAAUACAUGCAAGUCGAGCGAACGGACGAGAAGCUUGCUUCUCUGAUGUUAGCGGCGGACGGGUGAGUAACACGUGGAUAACCUACCUAUAAGACUGGGAUAACUUCGGGAAACCGGAGCUAAUACCGGAUAAUAUUUUGAACCGCAUGGUUCAACAGUGAAAGACGGUCUUGCUGUCACUUAUAGAUGGAUCCGCGCUGCAUUAGCUAGUUGGUAAGGUAACGGCUUACCAAGGCAACGAUGCAUAGCCGACCUGAGAGGGUGAUCGGCCACACUGGAACUGAGACACGGUCCAGACUCCUACGGGAGGCAGCAGUAGGGAAUCUUCCGCAAUGGGCGAAAGCCUGACGGAGCAACGCCGCGUGAGUGAUGAAGGUCUUCGGAUCGUAAAACUCUGUUAUUAGGGAAGAACAUAUGUGUAAGUAACUGUGCACAUCUUGACGGUACCUAACCAGAAAGCCACGGCUAACUACGUG